UGUUAAAAAUUUCAUCAAUUUUUUUAAAUUGAAAAUUGAUAUGACGAAUAAGAUAACUAAAUAGUUAUACGAGGUGUGACAUGUAAAUUUCAUGUCGACAUACAUGGGUCAGUUUUUAACUGUAAAAAUGAAUGAAAUUUUUAACA
rnacentral:pre_miRNA from 1 species